rnacentral:rRNA from 1 species
UACGUAGGAAGCGAGCGUUGUUCGGAAUUACUGGGCGUAAAGAGUGUGUAGGCGGUGUUCCCAGUCUGUUGUGAAAUCUCCCGGCUUAACUGGGAGGGUGCAGCGGAAACUAGAAUGCUAGAGGGUGGGAGAGGUAAGCGGAAUUCCUGGUGUAGCGGUGAAAUGCGUAGAUAUCAGGAGGAACACCUGUGGUGUAGACAGCUUGCUGGACCACUUCUGACGCUGAGACACGAAAGCGUGGGUAGCAAACAGG